rnacentral:rRNA from 1 species
UACGUAGGGACCAAGCGUUGUUCGGAUUUACUGGGCGUAAAGGGCGCGUAGGCGGGUCGGCAAGUCCGGGGUGAAAGCCCCCAGCUCAACUGGGGAAGGGCCUUGGAAACUGCCGGUCUUGAGGGAGGUAGGGGCCUGUGGAACUUCGGGUGGAGCGGUGAAAUGCGUUGAUAUCCGAAGGAACGCCGGUGGCGAAAGCGACGGGCUGGAUCUCUUCUGACGCUGAGGCGCGAAAGCUAGGGUAGCGAACGGG